rnacentral:rRNA from 1 species
AUUGAACGCUGGCGGCAGGCUUAACACAUGCAAGUCGAGCGGGGUGAUGGUGCUUGCACUAUCACUUAGCGGCGGACGGGUGAGUAAUGCUUAGGAAUCUGCCUAUUAGUGGGGGACAACAUCUCGAAAGGGAUGCUAAUACCGCAUACGUCCUACGGGAGAAAGCAGGGGAUCACUUGUGACCUUGCGCUAAUAGAUGAGCCUAAGUCGGAUUAGCUAGUUGGUGGGGUAAAGGCCUACCAAGGCGACGAUCUGUAGCGGGUCUGAGAGGAUGAUCCGCCACACUGGGGCUGAGACACGGCCCAGACUCCUACGGGAGGCAGCAGUGGGGAAUAUUGGACAAUGGGGGGAACCCUGAUCCAGCCAUGCCCCGUGUGUGAAGAAGGCCUUAUGGUUGUAAAGCACUUUAAGCGAGGAGGAGGCUCUUUUGGUUAAUACCCAAGAUGAGUGGACGUUACUCGCAGAAUAAGCACCGGCUAACUCUGUGCCAGCCGCCGCAGUAA